UGGGGAAUAUUGCACAAUGGGCGCAAGCCUGAUGCAGCAACGCCGCGUGAGGGAUGACGGCCUUCGGGUUGUAAACCUCUUUUAGUAGGGAAGAAGCGAAAGUGACGGUACCUGCAGAAAAAGCACCGGCUAACUACGUGCCAGCAGCCGCGGUAAUACGUAGGGUGCGAGCGUUGUCCGGAAUUAUUGGGCGUAAAGAGCUCGUAGGCGGUCUGUCGCGUCUGCUGUGAAAACCCGAGGCUCAACCUCGGGCCUGCAGUGGGUACGGGCAGACUAGAGUGCGGUAGGGGAGAAUGGAAUUCCUGGUGUAGCGGUGGAAUGCGCAGAUAUCAGGAGGAACACCGAUGGCGAAGGCAGUUCUCUGGGCCGUAACUGACGCUGAGGAGCGAAAGCGUGGGGAGCGAACAGGAUUAGAUACCCUGGUAGUCCACGCCGUAAACGUUGGGCGCUAGAUGUGGGGACCAUUCCACGGUUUCCGUGUC
rnacentral:rRNA from 1 species